rnacentral:rRNA from 1 species
AGAGUUUGAUCCUGGCUCAGAUUGAACGCUGGCGGCAGGCCUAACACAUGCAAGUCGAGCGGUAGCACAGAGAGCUUGCUCUCGGGUGACGAGCGGCGGACGGGUGAGUAAUGUCUGGGAAACUGCCUGAUGGAGGGGGAUAACUACUGGAAACGGUAGCUAAUACCGCAUAAUGUCGCAAGACCAAAGUGGGGGACCUUCGGGCCUCAUGCCAUCAGAUGUGCCCAGAUGGGAUUAGCUAGUAGGUGGGGUAACGGCUCACCUAGGCGACGAUCCCUAGCUGGUCUGAGAGGAUGACCAGCCACACUGGAACUGAGACACGGUCCAGACUCCUACGGGAGGCAGCAGUGGGGAAUAUUGCACAAUGGGCGCAAGCCUGAUGCAGCCAUGCCGCGUGUGUGAAGAAGGCCUUCGGGUUGUAAAGCACUUUCAGCGGGGAGGAAGGCGGUGAGGUUAAUAACCUCAUCGAUUGACGUUACCCGCAGAAGAAGCACCGGCUAACUCCGUGCCAGCAGCCGCGGUAAUACGGAGGGUGCAAGCGUUAAUCGGAAUUACUGGGCGUAAAGCGCACGCAGGCGGUCUGUCAAGUCGGAUGUGAAAUCCCCGGGCUUAACCUGGGAACUGCAUUCGAAACUGGCAGGCUAGAGUCUUGUAGAGGGGGGUAGAAUUCCAGGUGUAGCGGUGAAAUGCGUAGAGAUCUGGAGGAAUACCGGUGGCGAAGGCGGCCCCCUGGACAAAGACUGACGCUCAGGUGCGAAAGCGUGGGGAGCAAACAGGAUUAGAUACCCUGGUAGUCCACGCCGUAAACGAUGUCGAUUUGGAGGUUGUGCCCUUGAGGCGUGGCUUCCGGAGCUAACGCGUUAAAUCGACCGCCUGGGGAGUACGGCCGCAAGGUUAAAACUCAAAUGAAUUGACGGGGGCCCGCACAAGCGGUGGAGCAUGUGGUUUAAUUCGAUGCAACGCGAAGAACCUUACCUGGUCUUGACAUCCACAGAACUUUCCAGAGAUGGAUUGGUGCCUUCGGGAACUGUGAGACAGGUGCUGCAUGGCUGUCGUCAGCUCGUGUUGUGAAAUGUUGGGUUAAGUCCCGCAACGAGCGCAACCCUUAUCCUUUGUUGCCAGCGGUCCGGCCGGGAACUCAAAGGAGACUGCCAGUGAUAAACUGGAGGAAGGUGGGGAUGACGUCAAGUCAUCAUGGCCCUUACGACCAGGGCUACACACGUGCUACAAUGGCAUAUACAAAGAGAAGCGACCUCGCGAGAGCAAGCGGACCUCAUAAAGUAUGUCGUAGUCCGGAUUGGAGUCUGCAACUCGACUCCAUGAAGUCGGAAUCGCUAGUAAUCGUAGAUCAGAAUGCUACGGUGAAUACGUUCCCGGGCCUUGUACACACCGCCCGUCACACCAUGGGAGUGGGUUGCAA